rnacentral:rRNA from 1 species
GAUGAACGCUGACAGAAUGCUUAACACAUGCAAGUCGAUGGGGAAGUGGUGCUUGCACCAUGGUAACCAUGGCGGACGGGUGAGUAACGCGUAAGGAACUUACCUGCGGGACCGGGAUAACAGCAGGAAACUGCUGACAAGACCGGAUAAGGUCAUUAAGCUGCAUAGCUUAGUGAUGAAAGGAGACGCCUGCGGAGAGCCUUGCGUCCUAUUAGCUAGUUGGAGGGGUAACGGCCCACCAAGGCGAAGAUAGGUAGCCGGCCUGAGAGGGUGGACGGCCACAAGGGGACGGAGAUACGGCCCUUACUCCUACGGGAGGCAGCAGUGGGGAAUAUUGGACAAUGGGGGCAACCCUGAUCCAGCAAUUCUGUGUGCACGAAGACGGUUUUCGGAUUGUAAAGUGCUUUCAGCAGGGAAGAAGGAAGUGACGGUACCUGCAGAAGAAGCGACGGCUAAAUACGUG